AUUGAACGCUGGCGGCAGGCCUAACACAUGCAAGUCGAGCGAGCGGCGGACGGGUGAGUAAUGUCUGGGAAACUGCCCGAUGGAGGGGGAUAACUACUGGAAACGGUGGCUAAUACCGCAUACCAUCGGAUGUGCCCAUAUGGGAUUAGCUAGUAGGUGGGGUAAAGGCUAACCUAGGCGACGAUCUCUAGCUGGUCUGAGAGGAUGACCAGCCACACUGGAACUGAGACACGGUCCAGACUCCGACGGGAGGCAGCAGUGGGGAAUAUUGCGCAAUGGGCGCAAGCCUGACGCAGCCAUGCCGCGUGUAUGAAGAAGGCCUUAGGGUUGUAAAGUACUUUCGGCGGGGAGGCGUUACCCGCAGAAGAAGCACCGGCUAACUCCGUGCCAGCAGCCGCGGUAAUAC
rnacentral:rRNA from 1 species